rnacentral:lncRNA from 1 species
GGAACAAGGGCUUUGGAGUUGGCUGCUUUGCUGCAAGUUUUGGCUAUACCACUAAUCGCUUGUGUGACGUUGGCCUCAGUUUUCACAGUUGUUAAAUGAAAUAAGAAUUCAUCUGUUAAUCCUAUGACAAAGCAACAGGAUUUCUUCUUAGAAAAGGUUAUGAUAUCAGUAUCAUGCACCAAGUGGGGCC